UUAUUAUAUCCUGUAGGAUAGGAUGAGAUUAUGAUGGGUGGAAAUUAUUGUAUUUCUGUAUGUACCAGUACCAGUAGCAGUCAGUUAUUAUUAAUUUAAUUAUGAGUAUUGAUCUAAUUGUAUUGUAAGUCUGAAAUUGGAGAACACAUUUUGUUAAGGAACCCACUUGGGUUGGCCUGGUGGUAUUGGCUUGGGACCUGGGAGUCUGCUACUCCUCGAUGUCUCAGGUUCGAUUCCCUCUGGUGCCAAUUUAGGUGGGCUAGUUUAGCUUCUUCAAAAAAAACUUUUUGUUAAGGAUAAGUCUAUGAAGAUUUGUGAUGCUCUAGUUUAUAAUCCAUGAAUGCUGUCAAAAAUAUUCUUAUUUCUUUGUGCACUCUCGAGUCUAAGACAUAUUUAGAUUAUCAAUCGUCCUUCUUGACAUGUUAUUUCUGGCCUUUAAAAGUAAAGGCUGAUUUCAGUGAUACCCAAGUCUGAUAUUAGGUUUCCAAUUUUUUAUUGGGUUUGAAAUAGAAUUUAGCGAGAGGAAAACUUUACUUGGUUUAGGGAAUAUUAACUGUCUUGGCUGAGCAAAUUAUAAACUAAAGUUUCUCCUUUGGUUCAGCUCAAAAGUAACGCUAGAGCUGUCCAUACCAUUGUUCACAUUUAAUUUAAUCAUUCUGUUGAAUUGUUUUCUUCUUUUUUGCAGCUAUGAAGUGAUUGACACCUUGAAAUUGGACAAGCAUCUGGUGGAUUAUUCAAUACAUUAUCAUGUAUUCAAUACUCUUCUAUUCUGCUUGCUUGUUCUUAAUAUUUAUUGGUGGGUGCUAAUGCUUCGGAUGCUUGUUGGUCAAAUCUGUGCAAAAGGGAAAGUUAGUGAAGAUAUCCGAUCUGGUAAGCUAAAGAUUCAUUACAUAUAUGGCUUUCUAAUGUGACUUCUUGAUCGGAAAAGAUACCAACUACAAGAAAUGGUACCUCAAACUCUAAAUGGAAUUAAGCAAACAAUUUGGAGCAUACCUACCUUGCUACAUGCAUUUGCGCAGAAACGUGUAUAGGAAAUGUAUCUAGUGAGAGGGUAGUUUUUAUGUGAAAGUGGAGAGAUCUUGACUAUAUAACUACUAUAUAUGGACGGUUAAGACCAUGACCACUAAAAAAUUCACAUAAUUGUUUAAAAAAGUUUAACUGGUCGUUUGAUUGUAAACUGCUGCCCUUAACAUUUUCUUUUAUAUGCAGAUUCUGAAGAUGAACAUGAACAUGAGGAAUGAACAUGAAAACAAAAUUGGCUAUUGUCUCACUUUUUGAAAUGGUAUCAAAUUUUUUACAUGCACCUAGGCAUGUCAUAUAUUGUCACAUUUUAUGUUAUAACAAUGUAAAAUUCACCAAAAUUUAGUGUAUAUAAACACUAAGCUGCUUGUACAAAACAUUUAUGCUAAUAGUUCAUAUAAUCAUGUAGAAAUGUUCCCAUACAGAUGAAAAUUUGAGCCUACAUUUCUUUUUAUCGCUCAAUCAACCAAGGUAUCUAAUUUGAGGUCAAUUCAUGUCAUAAUUGCUUACAAGUCUUUCGAGACCUUAGGUUCGUGGGGUAAUUGUUUUUGUCGAGCUAUGUGAAGAUAGUUUAUAGCUCUUCAUGGAGCCUAAAAGUCUGAAAGUGUUACGAGGGUGUGAUGCAUAUUGCACUAAAGCUUGGGGGCCCCACCCAGUUAAACGAAUCCACCCAACGAACAUAUAGCUCAGGGGCUUCGCCUGGUCAAAAGAAGGCACCUGGCGAGCAUAGAGCUUGGGGACUUUGCCCACAUAAAAGAAGGCGUCCAACGAGCAUCAAGCUCGGGGGCUUUGCAUAGUCAAAAGAAGGUGCUCAACGAGCAUCAAGCUCGGGGGCUUUGCAUAGUCAAAAGAAGGUGCUCAACGAGCAUAGAGCUCGGGGAUUUCACCCGGUUAAAAGAAUUCUCCCAAGGAUUAUAAAGCUCAGGGGGCUGAAGAAAGCCUUAUAAGACUUCCAGACAUGUCUAUUGAAGUAAACAUAUAUAAAUUUGUUAAGGUUUUUUUUUUUAUAUAUAUAUAACAAAUGUAAGUACAUUACCUAUUUAAGUAAACAUGUAUAAAUUUUUGGAGAAAACUUAGGUACAAUUCCUUAAGUGCUUUUCGUAUGGUUGUGAACUAAAUUCACCAUGAUUUCCUCAAAUCCAUAAUUUUCUCCUAAAUUUUUUAUUAUUUUUUCUAACAAAUAUUAGUACGUUAACUGUUGUAUACAUAUUUUAUCCCUUACUAAUAUUUGAACCGUACACUUUUAACUUGGUAAUUUUUUUUUAUUCAAAAUUUUUCUCAUAUCAUAUCUCAACUCUUGAAAUAGAUUUUUCGUUGCUUCUAAAUUUUCAUUAGGCAUGACCUAUAAAAUAAAAAUAAUCUGUUUAAUAGGUAAAUAUGUAAUACACAUCAUUAACAAUGUGAUUAGGUAGAAUAAAUUUAAGCAUUAAAAAAUAGAAUAUAUUUCAGUUUGACUAAGCUAUGUAUCCAUAUUUUAAAAUCCGAUUAGUCGUGUAUAUGAUUAUCUUUAAUUAAAAUACAUGCUUCAUUCGUUCUUAAAUAUAAGAUCUUUUUAGUCGAAUCAUGGGAAAUAAAAAAAUUGGUAGUAAUAUUAAAUUUGUUUAUAAUUAUUAUUCUUACGAUUUUAUCAUUUAAGAGAUUGUUUAUGUUUUCAACAUAAUAGUAUUUAUUGUUGAUUGAAGAAAAAUAUGUAAAAUAAAUAUGGGUAUGUUGGUAAAAAAAUAAUUAAUAUAGUUUUGUUUAUGGAAAAUAAUUAAUAUAGUUGAAAAUGCCAAAUGGUCUUAUAAAGAGAUAAAUAAAUUUAAGUUUUUUUUAGUCUCGUUUUGGUGCCUUCUGUUAGGUCUCCGUUAGUUUUAAUAAUAAACGUUAAGUGUGGACACGUGUCACCUCGUCAUUGGCUCUGAGAUUUUUUAUUUUAUUUUUUAAAAAAUUUAUUUAAGGGACCAAAAGAGCAUUUAAGCCUAUUUAUAAAGAUUAAAAAAAAAAACAUAUUUAAACCAAAGAUUUAUCGUUGUGUCGAACCAAAUGUAACUCGCUUUGUGAAACUCAUCAAACUCAUCUUGUCCUUCACUCCACCUUAGGUUUACGGAGCGGCUACAAAGAGAGACACACAUUCUUUGUUUGUUUAUUGUGCUCACACCCACAUAACAGAGCAUAUUUUCUUCAAAAAUGGAAGAUGUGAUAACAGAAGCAGCACCACCAUCAAGAUUACUAGAAGAAGACCUAAACAAUUUCACACCAUCUUCUCCACCACUCCCUUCACCUUUUCUCCUCUUCCCUCACACACAACAACAACAACAACCUCUCAAACCCACACUCCUCAUCAUCGCUAUCUCUUCUCCCUCUCUCUCCCUUUUCCACAAUCUCCUCACCCCACAAACCCUAACCUCCUCUCUCAUCCUCCCUGAACUCCCUCUCUCCUAUCCUAACAACACCAUCAACAUCCACUCUCUCUCUUCCACCAUCCUCCUCGCCGCCGUUCAAAACCCUAUCCCUGAUAAUCGCGCUUACGCCGUCGCUGAAAUCCUCCUCAGCAACCAGAUCUGCCCUGAUUCGGUUAUUAUACUUGAUUCUAUCCAGCCGAUGAAUCACCGUGGUCUGCUUUCUUCCGACGAGGCGGUUGCAUUCAAGCUGGAGAGUUUUGCCGAAAGGAAGAAGGCGAAUGAGGAGAAAUUGUUGGGAGGAUUGGAUUAUUACCCGUCUGGAAGCGUUGUUGAUGGACUCGGUGCCGCCAUUCUUGGACGGUGUCAGAUUUUGAAAAUUAGGGCUAGCUUGUGUGUUACUUGGCCUCAAUUUGAUUCAGAUGUUGUUUUGUUGUUGAAGGAUUUGCUUCGAGGUUUGGGUGAGUUUGAGUUUGGGUUUAGUGAUGAUGAGGUUUUCAAAUUUGGGAGGAGUAAGGAUCAUGUUUUUCAAUCUCACUUGUAUAUUUGAUUAGAUUUAUUACAAUGUGUGUUUAACAUUUAGUUCUCAAUGAUUUGAAUGUUUUGGAAUUAUGAUGGUUAUGAAUAGUUAUCUAGUCUUUGCUUUAUUGUUGUGUUGCUUUUAUAUUUUGUCAAUUUUAUUCUACAAAUUGCCAUGAAAAUUUGCAAUAUCUUGCUUUACUGGGAAGAGCUUCUAUAGCUAUCUGAAUGUCACUUUCAAUAUCUAAUAGCUUUGUUCUUUAAUUUGUUAACUUUAACAAUGACAAUUGGUUGUGGAUAUCAAAUUUGCAUUUAGAUUCACAGUAUUAAACUAUCUAAGGUUAUGACUUAUAGUGGAUCUCCAUUGUUAUUUAAAUCUUUUUACCAAAUGAUUCAUCUGUGUCCUAUAUUUGUAAUGUGAGGUUAAUUGGUUGCAAUGUUGAUUGGUAGCUAAUAAAAGUACAUUUGAUCUUUAUGCUCUUUUGAAUUGAAUGCUUGCUCAGUUUUGUGUUGUCAUCUUGAAACUACUGGUUUUGUUACUGGCAUUGUGAUUGAUGUCAAUAUACUGCAUCAAGUCGUGCUUGUGGGUCACAUGGAUACAAAUGUAACUGUGGCAUGCAACCUACAACCACAAUGUGAUUGUUAAGGCAAUGUAAUACCCUGAUUAUAACAAAUAGUUAUGAUCAAUGUAACCCUAAACCCUUUCGAGGACAUCCAUAGCUUAGUCCAAAUAAAUUUUGGAUCAUCAUAGAUCUUAUUGGAUCAGAUGAUGCUACAUGUUUUUAAAGCUGUAGAUUUGAAUGAUGGCUAGACAUAUUUUUUUUUUCUUGCUGCCUCUAGUGUUGUGUAUCAUUGAUAAAAGAACUCAAUAGUUUACAAAUGUGAUUUCUGUGUCCAGAAUUCUCUAGAAAAUCUUAUUCUUCACUUGUAUCUAGUGAUUUAUGUUUUUUUUUGUUUUGUUAACGUAUCUCUUCUAAAUGUAAUUUAGGAUGCUUUGAAUGCUUUAAUAGAAUAGAUUUUAAUGUUAUCUGUUGAUCUUUAUGCUCUUUUGAAUUGAAUAUUAUGCUACUGUCAUGAGAGGAUCCCUUCCCUACAAUAAUAGUGAUUGUUUGCGGGCCACAUCGGUCCAAAUGUAACUGUCAUGCAAUAGAGCAGAUGUUGUUAAGGCAAUGUGAUAUCCUGACCAUAAUCGGUAUAUAUGAUUGAUGUAAUUCUUUUCAAGACAUGUAUAUAGCAUAGUCCAAUAAGUUUUGAUACAUCAUAGAACAAAAUUCAUUUGGACCAUACUGCACUUUUCUUUUCAUGCUACUCAAAAUGUUUUUUUUUAGUGGUGGCCAAGCUUUGAACCUUGGACCUUGCAUAUAUUAUGUAUUGUUUAUACAAAUUGAAUUAAGCUCACGAGGACAAAUGUUUAUACAAGUUAUAGAUGGUAGAAGUCAAUUAAACGAAGUGUUUAGUAGACAAUAAGAGUUGUGUGAAACAUAUUUUUCAUGUUGUCUCGACAUUGGUGGUGUUUAUCAUUGAGAUACGGAACCCAUCUAGUGUAAGCUCUACAAGCAAUUACUAAUAUGUUUUUCUUGUCCAAAAUUCAGUACAGAAGUUUAUUACUUUUCUUUAGCAUAUGUUUGGUUUGAUGUUGAAAUUAUCAAUCUCGCAGAGGAAUUGGAGUUUUCCAAACCCAUACUUAGUCUGUGUAUCAAUAGUGAAACUUGAUUGGAUCUGCAUUGGGUAACUUCCAACCCAGAUCUUGAUUUGCUAGCCUUGACUGAUCUUUAACCCAAACUUGAAAUUAAAAAUAAUUCUCAAAAGGGAGGAUAAACAUGCGAUUUUGUCAAAAAUUUGGUGAUGAUGAGGUUUUCAAAUUUGGGAGGAGUAAGGUUCAUGUUUUUCAAUCUCACUUAUAUAUUUGAUUAGAUUUAUUACAAAGUGUCUGUUUAACAUGUAGUUCUCGAUGAUUUGAAUGUUUUGGAAUUAUGAUGGUUAUGAAUAGUUAUCUAGUCUUUGCUUUAUUGUUGUGUUGCUUUUAUANCAACGAGCAUCAAGCUCGGGGGCUUUGCAUAGUCAAAAGAAGGUGCUCAACGAGCAUAGAGCUCGGGGAUUUCACCCGGUUAAAAGAAUUCUCCCAAGGAUUAUAAAGCUCAGGGGGCUGAAGAAAGCCUUAUAAGACUUCCAGACAUGUCUAUUGAAGUAAACAUAUAUAAAUUUGUUAAGGUUUUUUUUUUUAUAUAUAUAUAACAAAUGUAAGUACAUUACCUAUUUAAGUAAACAUGUAUAAAUUUUUGGAGAAAACUUAGGUACAAUUCCUUAAGUGCUUUUCGUAUGGUUGUGAACUAAAUUCACCAUGAUUUCCUCAAAUCCAUAAUUUUCUCCUAAAUUUUUUAUUAUUUUUUCUAACAAAUAUUAGUACGUUAACUGUUGUAUACAUAUUUUAUCCCUUACUAAUAUUUGAACCGUACACUUUUAACUUGGUAAUUUUUUUUUAUUCAAAAUUUUUCUCAUAUCAUAUCUCAACUCUUGAAAUAGAUUUUUCGUUGCUUCUAAAUUUUCAUUAGGCAUGACCUAUAAAAUAAAAAUAAUCUGUUUAAUAGGUAAAUAUGUAAUACACAUCAUUAACAAUGUGAUUAGGUAGAAUAAAUUUAAGCAUUAAAAAAUAGAAUAUAUUUCAGUUUGACUAAGCUAUGUAUCCAUAUUUUAAAAUCCGAUUAGUCGUGUAUAUGAUUAUCUUUAAUUAAAAUACAUGCUUCAUUCGUUCUUAAAUAUAAGAUCUUUUUAGUCGAAUCAUGGGAAAUAAAAAAAUUGGUAGUAAUAUUAAAUUUGUUUAUAAUUAUUAUUCUUACGAUUUUAUCAUUUAAGAGAUUGUUUAUGUUUUCAACAUAAUAGUAUUUAUUGUUGAUUGAAGAAAAAUAUGUAAAAUAAAUAUGGGUAUGUUGGUAAAAAAAUAAUUAAUAUAGUUUUGUUUAUGGAAAAUAAUUAAUAUAGUUGAAAAUGCCAAAUGGUCUUAUAAAGAGAUAAAUAAAUUUAAGUUUUUUUUAGUCUCGUUUUGGUGCCUUCUGUUAGGUCUCCGUUAGUUUUAAUAAUAAACGUUAAGUGUGGACACGUGUCACCUCGUCAUUGGCUCUGAGAUUUUUUAUUUUAUUUUUUAAAAAAUUUAUUUAAGGGACCAAAAGAGCAUUUAAGCCUAUUUAUAAAGAUUAAAAAAAAAAACAUAUUUAAACCAAAGAUUUAUCGUUGUGUCGAACCAAAUGUAACUCGCUUUGUGAAACUCAUCAAACUCAUCUUGUCCUUCACUCCACCUUAGGUUUACGGAGCGGCUACAAAGAGAGACACACAUUCUUUGUUUGUUUAUUGUGCUCACACCCACAUAACAGAGCAUAUUUUCUUCAAAAAUGGAAGAUGUGAUAACAGAAGCAGCACCACCAUCAAGAUUACUAGAAGAAGACCUAAACAAUUUCACACCAUCUUCUCCACCACUCCCUUCACCUUUUCUCCUCUUCCCUCACACACAACAACAACAACAACCUCUCAAACCCACACUCCUCAUCAUCGCUAUCUCUUCUCCCUCUCUCUCCCUUUUCCACAAUCUCCUCACCCCACAAACCCUAACCUCCUCUCUCAUCCUCCCUGAACUCCCUCUCUCCUAUCCUAACAACACCAUCAACAUCCACUCUCUCUCUUCCACCAUCCUCCUCGCCGCCGUUCAAAACCCUAUCCCUGAUAAUCGCGCUUACGCCGUCGCUGAAAUCCUCCUCAGCAACCAGAUCUGCCCUGAUUCGGUUAUUAUACUUGAUUCUAUC
rnacentral:lncRNA from 1 species